UUUUUUUUUUCUUUCAAAAGAAGGGAGGAACUGAGUGAACCGCAUGAGGUGAUUCUAAUUGGUUGGGACAUCUGUUGAAAUCGUGUUUCUGUAGAGAAAGAAGAAACUACCGUCUUUGGAGAUCCCUGGCCAGCUUUCAAGGCACCUAAAUCUGAGUCUUAUGUGAACUGGACAGAAAAAAAAAUGAAGAAGCUACUAGCAGCGAUUCUGUGGCUUCAACUAGACCGGUUCAAUGGAGAAGUGAGAGUGGAGCAAAGCCCUCCGUCCCUGAGCACUCAGGAGGGAGAAGACUGCACUCUCUACUGCAGUUACUCAGGCACGACUUCAGACAGACUGCACUGGUACAGACAGGAUGUGGGGAAAAGCCUGGAAUCCCUGUUUUUAUUGGUGUCAAACGGAAUAGUGAAGCAGGAGGGACGAUUCACAGCCUCUCUUGACACCAAAGCCCGUCGCAGCACCCUGCACAUCGCGGCCACCCAGCGGGGCCUCUCUGCCACCUACUUCUGUGCCGUGGACACACAGCGCUCCCCCGACGCUUUCAGUCUGUACCCAAACCUGCAGCCUGCGCUGCCACACACUCCUGCUGCGGGGAGCACGGUAUGAGGCUUAGUUCACUGUCUCUGCAUCUCUUCCUGCAAGGAAAAUUCUGAAAUGAAUGAGAAAAGGUGAUGUUUUUAACUUUUAUUUUCUUUACUGUGGAAACUUUCCUUAAAGGAAAAUGGAUUCAGGGGAAAAAACUCUUAAACAUGUCUUUCCUGAGAAUACAAGCUCUCAUCCUUUACUGCCUCCCAGUCAAAAUCCAUUAGUCUUUCAUUACGGAAUGAUUUUCCGUUUAGUGCAACUGUCACAAAUAAUUCCUAUGAAAUGUGGAACCAUUAUUUGUUUUAUAUGUGACUGUAACAUAUAGCAUUUACCAAUGGAGGAAAAAAAAGAAUAAGUGCUUUAUAAAAGAACAUUUUAUGAGAGGCUCCUUACCUAGUUUUUCCUCCUAAAAUAUUGACUGCAGUAGUCUUUAAUAUCCAUGAGAUCUGGAUAUCAAUUUAUCACAAUGUAUAGAGAGAUUCUUAUUGUAGGACUUAAAAAAAAAAAAAGUCUAAUUAAAAGACCUGAAUACACCCUAUUGAAUGAAAACAUUAUGCGUAUACCUGGUCUGCAAACCCAGGAUACAAAUGCUCUCACGUCUCCAUUAUUUUUCCAAGUAGUUGUUAGAGCCACUACCUGCCAAGUAACUAGGAAGUUCAUUAUCUGCUUCUUGAGCCCUUCCCCACGCC